rnacentral:ncRNA from 2 species
UUUAAUAUUGUGAUAUCUGGUACAAGAAGUUUAAAAGGGGAAACCGGUGUGAGUCCGGUGCGGUCCCGCCACUGUAUUGGGGAGUUUUCUUAGAUUAGGCCACUAGUAGAUUGGGUGGUGUAAGAAAAUGAAGAACCUAAGUCAGGAUACCUGCCAGUUAAUGGUUAUGAAA